AGGAAAUCGCCAUCAUGGAGGUGGAAGUGGUGGAGCAGGAGGUGGAUUUGGAGGCGGCGGUGGUGGUGGUGGAGGAAAUCGCCAUCACGGAGGUGGAAGUGGUGGAUCAGGAGGUGGAUUUGGAGGCGGCGGUGGUCUUGGAAGUACUCGCGGGUAAAGGAGAAAGUUACCUUCAUCAAGAACAAAUAAAGAGAUAUUGUCUCGUAAUAAAUGUA